UUCUACUGAAUGUGCCAUCGAAAUGAUACAGAUCACCAACGGCCCAGCAUAGAGCAAUCUCUCAUUUCAUCUUUCGAAAGAAGAUUGGAUAACUGAUCGGUGGUUUCAUGUGCAAGUUCACUGAUCAUGUCACUGAACUUUUUCUGUUGCAGUCUAAUAUGUAUUCAAAGUUCUAAACUCCAGGUUUCUAAAUUUGCAUGGCAGACUUUAUGAGAAGUCAUGUCCUUUCAAGAAAGUCAACAAGAUUCCUUGUUUGCUAACCCGUUGGCUGCUACCCUUGAAUCUCCCUUUAUACUUUCCUAAGCGGGCCAUCUUUAUUUGAGGGUAAUCCUUCGCUACUUGUCAUGGACUUCAUCCACUGGUGAAAACCAACGAGAG